rnacentral:rRNA from 1 species
CCAAGCGACUGUUUACCAAAAACAUAGGUUUCUGCUAAGUCGCAAGACGAUGUAUAGGAGCUGACGCCUGCCCGGUGCUGGAAGGUUAAGGGGAUCUGUUAGAGCAAUCGAAGCAGUGAACUUAAGCCCCAGUAAACGGCGGCCGUAACUAUAACGGUCCUAAGGUAGCGAAAUUCCUUGUCGGGUAAGUUCCGACCCGCACGAAAGGCGUAACGAUUUGGGCACUGUCUCAACAACAGACUCGGUGAAAUUGUAAUUCCGGUGAAGAUGCCGGAUACCUGCGACAGGACGGAAAGACCCCAUGGAGCUUUACUGUAGCUUGACAUUGGGUCUUGGUACUACAUGUACAGGAUAGGUGGGAGGCUUUGAAACCAGGACGCCAGUUUUGGCGGAGCCAUCCUUGGGAUACCACCCUUGUAGUACUGGGACUCUAACCAUAGGCCAUGAAUCUGGUCUUGGGACACUGUCAGGUGGGCAGUUUGACUGGGGCGGUCGCCUCCCAAAAGGUAACGGAGGCGCUCAAAGGUUCUCUCAGUACGGUCGGAAAUCGUACGUAGAGUGUAAAGGCAAAAGAGAGCUUGAUUGCAAGACAUACAGGUCGAGCAAGGAUGAAAAUCGGACUUAGUGAUCCGGUGGUUCUGCGUGGAAGGGCCAUCGCUCAACGGAUAAAAGCUACCCUGGGGAUAACAGGCUUAUCUCCCCCAAGAGUCCACAUCGACGGGGAGGUUUGGCACCUCGAUGUCGGCUCAUCACAUCCUGGGGCUGUAGUAGGUCCCAAGGGUUGGGCUGUUCGCCCAUUAAAGUGGUACGCGAGCUGGGUUCAGAACGUCGUGAGACAGUUCGGUCCCUAUCCGUCGCAGGCGUAGGAAAUUUGAGAAGACCUGUCCUUAGUACGAGAGGACCGGGAUGGACGUACCUCUGGUGUACCAGUUGUCCUGCCAAGGGCAUGGCUGGGUAGCUAUGUACGGAAUGGAUAAGCGCUGAAAGCAUCUAAGCGCGAAGCCAACUUCAAGAUAAGAUUUCCCACCGCAAGGGUAAGACCCCAGAAAGACUAUCUGGUUGAUAGGUCGAAGGUGUAAGUGCAGCAAUGUAUUUAGCUUAUCGAUACUAAUAG